CCUGGACAUACCUUGCAUGGACUUUGACUCUGUUAGAGAUCCUAGGCUUCCUGAUCAAUUGGGAGAAAUCCAUUAUCGUUCCCACGCAACAAAUCAAAUUUCUGGGUUUUAUUGGAUUAUUGUAGAUUCCUACCCUUCAAACUCUACACUUUCCGGUGGCAAAAUUAGCCAAUAUCAAGAAGGAGAUAGGCGAACACUAGCAACCUCUCAACUCUCUCUCAAACAACUGUCGAGAAUGUUAGGCCUUCUAGCGGCAUUUAUACAGGCCAUGUUUCAAGAUCUUCUUGGCUAUUGAGCCCUACAAGGAUUACAAACUACAUCUCCAGGGCAGCGCAUCGACACUCCACAUGAAUUGUUUGGACCUUCUGGCCGGUUCCUUUGCGGUCUGAAGUUUCUCCCCAACUCAAGCCCAAAUGCUCAACCC